CGCUGGCGGCGUGCUUAACACAUGCAAGUCGAACGGAAAGGCCCUGCUUUUGUGGGGUGCUCGAGUGGCGAACGGGUGAGUAACACGUGAGUAACCUGCCCUUGACUUUGGGAUAACUUCAGGAAGCUGGGGCUAAUACCGGAUAGGAGCUCCUGCUGCAUGGUGGGGGUUGGAAAGUUUCGGCGGUUGGGGAUGGACUCGCGGCUUAUCAGCUUGUUGGUGGGGUAGUGGCUUACCAAGGCUUUGACGGGUAGCCGGCCUGAGAGGGUGACCGGCCACAUUGGGACUGAGAUACGGCCCAGACUCCUACGGGAGGCAGCAGUGGGGAAUAUUGCACAAUGGGCGGAAGCCUGAUGCAGCAACGCCGCGUGCGGGAUGACGGCCUUCGGGUUGUAAACCGCUUUCGCCUGUGACGAAGCGUGAGUGACGGUAAUGGGUAAAGAAGCACCGGCUAACUACGUG
rnacentral:rRNA from 1 species